UGGGGAAUAUUGGACAAUGGGGGCAACCCUGAUCAGCAAUGCCGCGUGUGUGAAGAAGGCCUGCGGGUUGUAAAGCACUUUCAGUAGGGAAGAAAAGCCUGGGGCUAAUACCUCCGGGUCUUGACGUUACCUAAAGAAGAAGCACCGGCUAACUCCGUGCCAGCAGCCGCGGUAAUACGGAGGGUGCAAGCGUUAUCCGGAUUCACUGGGUUUAAAGGGUGCGUAGGUGGGCAGAUAAGUCAGUGGUGAAAUCUUCCGGCUUAACCGGGAAACUGCCGUUGAUACUAUUUGUCUUGAAUAUUGCGGAGGUAAGCGGAAUAUGUCAUGUAGCGGUGAAAUGCUUAGAUAUGACAUAGAACACCAAUUGCGAAGGCAGCUUACUACACAAUCAUUGACACUGAGGCACGAAAGCGUGGGUAGCGAAC
rnacentral:rRNA from 1 species